rnacentral:lncRNA from 1 species
GGAUGCAUGAAAUAUGGGCACUCAGCUUGGCAACAACACAACAUCAACACAGUUUGGAGUUUCUUCAUGAGCUAGUCUCUCGUUUCAGACUGUGUUCCAAGACCUGGUGCCAGGAUUAGGUAUAACAUGUAUGAGUCCUGAUGCUGGAUGCUAGGAUUAGGUAUAACAUGUAUUAGACAGAUGCUGGAUGCCAGGAUUAGGUAUAACAUGUAUUAGUCCCGAUGCUGGAUGCCAGGAUUAGGUGUAACAUGUAUUAGACAGAUGCUGGAUGCCAGGAUUAGGUAUAACAUGUAUUAGACAGAUGCUGGAUGCUAGGAUUAGGUAUAACAUGUAUUAGACUGAUGCUGGAUGCCAGGAUUAGGUAUAACAUGUAUUAGACAGAUGCUGGAUGCCAGGAUUAGGUAUAACAUGUAUUAGACAGAUGCUGGAUGCCAGGAUUAGGUAUAAAAUGUAUUAGACUGAUGCUGGAUGCCAGGAUUCGUUUUUUACAAAUAACAUAAAAGUAUGCAAUUUUUCUGCAUCCUUGUAUCUAACUCUGCGAUAUAAUUAACCAAAAUCUACGCCCGCCUUUCCUGCGUUGCGUGACAUUCGCAGCCUACCCCACCAAUAAUUCUGCAUGUAUAAUACAGCGAAACAGUGAUUCUUUCUGUGUAUUUAGUAACACAAUGACUGCUGCCCCACCACAACACAUCAGCUUUAGGCAACAGCCUACAAGCAAAAUCUCAAUGUAGGUUAACGAGCUCCGUAGAGUUUAAAUGGACCGCUCGAUACAACACUGAUGAAUAAUAUGGACGAUACUGUGUUGUAGUCUACUUCGUAAACUAAUGCACACACUAUUCAAUUAAAUGUGGAUCGUCAGAUAGUCAUAUUUUGUAAUAUUGUUGUAUGGUGGUAUUAUACAUUUUGUAUUGUAGAUAUGUAGUGGUGUAAUAAUGUUAUAUGACGUACUGUUUUAUAUUUUGUUUAUUACUGUAUGUAAUGUAAGUGCCUUAAUGUGUUUGGACCCUAGAAGAGAAGCUGCUGCCUUGGCAAUGGCUAAUGGGGAUCCCUAAUAAAUACAAAUGUCUCCCGAGUGGUGCAGCGAUCUAAGGCACUCAGCGUCACUACAGACCCCGGUUCGAAUACAG